rnacentral:tRNA from 3 species
GUUCAUGUAGCUUAAUUACAAAAGCAAAGCACUGAAAAUGCUUAGAUGAGUCUUUACGACUCCAUAAACA